rnacentral:tRNA from 1 species
GUCUAAUUAGUUUUAUAUAAAAUAUGGUUUU